rnacentral:rRNA from 1 species
GUAGGUGGCAAGCGUUGUCCGGAAUUAUUGGGCGUAAAGCGCGCGCAGGCGGGUUCUUUAAGUCUGAUGUGAAAGCCCACGGGCUCAACCGUGGAGGGUCAUUGGAAACUGGAGAACUUGAGUACAGAAGAGGAAAGCGGAAUUCCACGUGUAGCGGUGAAAUGCGUAGAGAUGUGGAGGAACACCAGUGGCGAAGGCGGCUUUCUGGUCUGUAACUGACGCUGAGGCGCGAAAGCGUGGGGAGCAAACAGGAUUAGAUACCCUGGUAGUCCACGCCGUAAACGAUGAGUGCUAAGUGUUAGGGGGUUUCCGCCCCUUAGUGCUGCAGCUAACGCAUUAAGCACUCCGCCUGGGGGGUACGGCCGCAAGGCUG